rnacentral:lncRNA from 1 species
GAGGUUUCAAGAUGGCGGUAGCUGAGGGGUUGACCGAGAGACCCAGUUGAAGGCCUUUACGAAGUGAAAGAGGCCGGGAGUCGCCCCCUACCCGCUUCUCGUAGUCCUGGGAGCACAGCAGAAGUGUUUUUCUUUUUUUAAUGAACAAGUAAACCAUACAAAUUGUCAACAUGGGACGGAGAUCUACAUCAUCCACCAAGAGUGGAAAAUUUAUGAACCCCACAGACCAAGCCCGUAAGUGUCCAUUAGUGUGGAAUGAUGAAGUAGGAGAGUGUUAAAAAUUGCAAAUAUUAGGGAAUUUCUUUCUCUGUGGCUUAAUUACAAGACCAGCAGUGAUAGGAGGAAUAAAUUAUAUAUUCAGGGUUUGUAUGGGCACAUUAAGACUUUAAAUAUGCAAAGAAAUUAGUACCCGUAUUUUAUUUUUCAAAUUUGAUUGACUUGCAAAGUAGAAUUGGCUGAAAUCUUUCUUUUUAUAUUGGAAAUUUUGAGCAAAUUAGUUUUGCGAGCCCUUGUUUCGCGUUUUAUGUUAUGUUUUUCCUUCAGAUUCAUAGUUG